CCUACGGGAGGCAGCAGUGAGGAAUAUUGGUCAAUGGCCGAGAGGCUGAACCAGCCAAGUCGCGUGAGGGAUGACGGCCCUACGGGUUGUAAACCUCUUUUGUCGGGGAGCAAGACCCGCCACGAGUGGCGGAGCGAGAGUACCCGAAGAAAAAGCAUCGGCUAACUCCGUGCCAGCAGCCGCGGUAAUACGGAGGAUGCGAGCGUUAUCCGGAUUUAUUGGGUUUAAAGGGUGCGCAGGCGGGAGAUCAAGUCAGCGGGAAAAUGUCGGGGCUCAACCCCGGCCGGCCGUUGAAACUGGGUUUC
rnacentral:rRNA from 1 species